ACUCAAAGGAAUUGACGGGGGCCCGCACAAGCGGUGGAGCAUGUGGUUCAAUUCGACGCAACGCGAAGAACCUUACCCAGGCUUGAACUGCAGAUGACAACCUACGAAAGUAGGCUUCCGCAAGGACGUCUGUAGAGGUGCUGCAUGGCUGUCGUCAGCUCGUGUCGUGAGAUGUUGGGUUAAGUCCCGCAACGAGCGCAACCCUUGUCUUCUGUUGCCAUCGGGUUAUGCCGGGCACUCUGAAGAGACUGCCGGUGACAAACCGGAGGAAGGUGGGGAUGACGUCAAGUCAGCAUGGCCUUUAUGUCUGGGGCCACACACGUGCUACAAUGGCCGGUACAAACCGUCGCGAGCCCGCAAGGGGGAGCUAAUCGGAGAAAGCCGGUCUCAGUUCGGAUUGUCGGCUGCAACUCGCCGGCAUGAAGCUGGAAUCGCUAGUAAUCGCGGAUCAGCACGCCGCGGUGAAUACGUUCCCGGGCCUUGCACACACCGCCCGU
rnacentral:rRNA from 1 species